rnacentral:rRNA from 1 species
AACGAACGCUUUCUUCCUUCCUAACACAUGCAAGUCGAACGAGACCUUCGGGUCUAGUGGCGCACGGGUGCGUAACGCGUGGGAACCUGCCCUUAGGUUCGGAAUAACUCCCCGAAAGGGGUGCUAAUACCGGAUAAUGUCUUCGGACCAAAGAUUUAUCGCCUUUGGAUGGGCCCGCGUUGGAUUAGCUAGUUGGUAGGGUAAAAGCCUACCAAGGCGACGAUCCAUAGCUGGUCUGAGAGGAUGAUCAGCCACACUGGGACUGAGACACGGCCCAGACUACUACGGGAGGCAGCAGUGGGGAAUAUUGGACAAUGGGCGAAAGCCUGAUCCAGCAAUGCCGCGUGAGUGAUGAAGGCCUUAGGGUUGUAAAGCUCUUUUACCCGGGAUGAUAAUGACAGUAACGGGAGAAUAAGCUCCGGCUAACUCCGGG